AGUGAAACACACACACACACACAUGCGCGCGCGCGCGCUAUCAUCCCAGAGAAGGAUUUUCACAUAUUACAUAAAGUUGAAGCUCACACAGCCAUCAAAACAGUAGCCGCUAUUUACAUCAAACAUUUGAAACCUGAUCUCAAUAAUUAAUCAUCAUCAGCAAAGUUGUAUGUUUCAUAAACCUUGUUUCGGAGAUUUGGUCCUCCGAGACCGUCAUCAACUCACCCACACACCACCACCUGCAAAUCACCUUAACCCGCCACUGAACCACGAUUGUUACAGUUCCCACAACGGAGCCUUCUUCACCACGCCCUUCACACAGCCGUCUGUUGGCCAGGGGCGGCGAGACAUCGGUGGCAGCAGCGGCAAAACCUAAGGAAAUGACACAGAAGAUCGUUGUUUUCGGAGAGGCGCAGCAAACAUGAGCGUUUUGUUCUGCAUGGAGACGCCACACCUCUGCCGCAAUCUACACCCCGCAACCCCCUUCCCUGCACCCCCUUCUCUACAGCACCCCCAACUCCUGCCUCCAACACCGCCCAACACAACCGUCGGGAUCAAUAUGAGGACCGCGUGAGCCGCAGUCUGCGAAGAAGUCCCGCCACCCUUCCUCCACCAGACUCUCUCCUACCCCUUCAUCUCCCGUCUGCUUCCCCCAUCCUCUCUCUCUCUCUCUCUCUCUCUCUCUCUCUCUCUCUCUCUCUCUCUCUCUCUCUCUCUCAUUCCGUCCCCACCGAGUACAACAAUGAUAAAGACUCGUAAGUCAUCAUUGUGGCGCUGCAUCACCUGCGCUCCUCCACCACGGGGCGCCAUGGCUGUAGGAGACGGGAAGAAGGCGCCGUGGUGGAACAUUUCCGUUGGGGACUGAUAAGAUACGGACAUGCUUCCCAGAAUCAGAAAGUUCACUGUGUGGCGGGUCACUAGGUCACUAUACUGUAAUACUGUAGUACUCGUACUGUAGUAAAGUAAAGUAAAGAAAAAUU